GGAGAGGUACCGAAGCGGUCAUAACGGCACCGACUCGAAAUCGGAUGGUCUUUAAUUAGGCACGCGGGUUCGAAUCCCGCCUUCUCCG
rnacentral:tRNA from 1 species